GAUCGCGCCACCGCACUCCAGCCUGGGCAACAACAGCAAAACUGUCUCAAAAAACAAACAAAAAAACAAAAAAGCAAAAUGCAGAUAGUAUGAUCCAUUUGAAAAUAUUUUAAGAGAAAUAUACACAUACAUGCAUAGAAGUUUUCCAGAGGGACAUAGAAGAAACUUCAAGUGGUUAUCAGUGGAGAAGAAUGCUAACUUUAUUUUUUUAACUUCUUAGCCUUCUAUAAUAUGUGAAUAUGUGAAUAACUUUUUUUUUUUUUUGAGACACUCCAACCUGGGCAACAAGAGUGAAACUCCGUGUCAAAACAAACGAACAAACAAACAAACUCCAUCUUGGCCAUCAUCUUAGAGAUCAUUACCGUUUGUUGGAAUCUCAAAGUACCAUUCUCAAG
rnacentral:lncRNA from 1 species